CCCUUAGAUGUUCUGGGCCGCACGCGCGCUACACUGACGAAAGCAACAAGCAUUCACCUCGUUCGACAGGACCGGGUAAUCUUGCAAAUUUCGUCGUGAUGGGGAUAGAUUAUUGCAACUAUUAAUCUUCAACGAGGAAUUCCUAGUAAGCGCAAGUCAUCAGCUUGCGUUGAUUACGUCCCUGCCCUUUGUACACACCGCCCGUCGCUCCUACCGAUUGAAUGGUCCGGUGAAAUCUUCGGACUGCGGUUGAUGCAGGUUUACCUGUAGAUUCUGCGGGAAGUUGCUUAAACCUUAUCAUUUAGAGGAAGGAGAANUCGUAACA
rnacentral:rRNA from 1 species